rnacentral:lncRNA from 1 species
GGUUUUAUAGUUUGUACCUUUGGAGGAGUUCCUCCUUUGCUGCUCUUCUCUGAGUAGCUCUUCAUAUUUGGAUGCCUUAUCAGCCAGUUCUGCCAGAUCUCCGAACAAUAUCUCGUCGAACCUUUUCCUGAGGGAGAUUUUAAGGGCGGCUUGGGCCAUCUGGAUGAAGUGUCUUUCUUUCAUUGGGAUUCGGCACUUCAUCUUGAGCCUUCUGAACCUGG